AGCCGACAGCUGGCGGCGUGCCUAAUACAUGCAAGUCGAGCGGAUUUAUCCUUCGGGUAUAAGUUAGCGGCGGACGGGUGAGUAACACGUAGGCAACCUGCCUGUAAGAUCGGGAUAACUACCGGAAACGGUAGCUAAGACCGGAUAGAUGGUUUUCUCGCAUGAGAAGAUCAAGAAACACGGGGCAACCUGUGGCUUACAGAUGGGCCUGCGGCGCAUUAGCUAGUUGGCGGGGUAACGGCCCACCAAGGCGACGAUGCGUAGCCGACCUGAGAGGGUGAUCGGCCACACUGGGACUGAGACACGGCCCAGACUCCUACGGGAGGCAGCAGUAGGGAAUCUUCCGCAAUGGACGCAAGUCUGACGGAGCAACGCCGCGUGAGUGAUGAAGGUUUUCGGAUCGUAAAGCUCUGUUGCCAAGGAAGAACGCCUUGGAGAGUAACUGCUCUGAGGGUGACGGUACUUGAGAAGAAAGCCCCGGCUAACUACGUGCCAGCAGCCG
rnacentral:rRNA from 1 species